CCUACGGGAGGCAGCAGUGAGGAAUAUUCCACAAUGGGGGAAACCCUGAUGGAGCGAUGCCGCGUGCAGGAAGACGCUUUUCGGAGUGUAAACUGCUUUUAACAAGGAAGAUUAUGACGGUACUUGUAGAAUAAGGACCGGCUAACUACGUGCCAGCAGCCGCGGUAAUACGUAGGGUCCAAGCGUUAUUCGGAAUUACUGGGCGUAAAGCGUUCGUAGGCGGUUUGAUAAGUUGGAUGUGAAAUCCUGUGGCUCAACCACAUGGACUGUGUCCAAAACUAUCUGACUAGAGCAUAGUAGAGGCAAGUGGAAUUUGCGGUGUAGGAGUGACAUCCGUAGAUAUCGCAAGGAACACCAAUGGCGAAGGCAGCUUGCUGGGCUAUUGCUGACGCUCAGGAACGAAAGCGUGGGGAGCGAACGGGAUUAGAUACCCCGGUAGUCCACGCCGUAAACGAUGAUCACUAGCAGUAUGGAGAUUCGACCCUCUGUGUUGCCACAGCUACGUACGUUAAGUAGUAUCCGCCGUCGGGUAGGUACGGGCGGCGAGACGUUAAACGUACGAAGAAGUAGUAGACGNGNGAGACGCGACGACGACGACGACGGAGGAGGAG
rnacentral:rRNA from 1 species